UCAUCUUUUCCACAUUAACAUUUUCCAUUUUAGGAUCAUUAUUAUUUGAGGGUUUUGUCACAUUAAAAAACCCUUUCUAAGAAUUUUUUAAUAGAGGACAAUCUUUCCGUGUAUGACCACUCUCUUUAUAGUGGAAGCAAGCAUUAAGGUUCCCAAGCGACUCCAUGUCCCAACAAAGGGUUUCACCCUCAAUAGUAAGGGCGGUUUCACUCUCGUUUAUUUUGAAUAGAUCGAAUCAGCAGCUGUAGGGAAAUGCUUUUGGUUCUUAUCAUUUUAUAAAAAAUUCUGCACUGGUAGGGUUUCGUAAUUUCUUUUCCUGCAAACUCUGCCCAUCAUUUCAGUCAGCAGAGUUGACAGCACGGCACAAUUUGUGCAGAAUCUCGAGCAUAAUGUCUCAACCUUCCAGUAGUAGAAGUGGUGCCCCAAAGGCAGACCCAAUUAGAAAGGAUAAGGCUUGGAAACAUGGCAUCCCUGGGUCAAAAAAAGAAGUAACAUGAAUAUAAUGGGGGAGGUAUUAACUGGUUGAAAUAUCACAUUGCACAAAUAGAAUGCCAUGAUGCCAAACCAUGCAAACUAGCACCCCCUGAGGUUAUAAGUGAAGUGCAAGCUCAAUUAGAGGAAUAUGAAGAGAUAAAAGAAUUAAAAAAGAAGCAAAUGGAAGAAACGACAGCCAUUGGUGGAGAGGCUUCUUCAAAUCCUCGGCCUCCAUUUCCUGCAUCUAGAAGUAGUGGUAGUGUGAGUGUGAGCAUUUGGUCUCGUAUUCGUAAAAAUAAAUCCACAAUAGACUCACUUUUUGUUCCACGCAUGACUCCGGAUGCCCAACCAUCGCUUGAGAGCAUGGGUAGGAAUAAAAAGCAUGAUGCUGCGAAAAUAGUAAUCGGAGACUUUUGGUUCUACAACAACGUUCCAUUUCAUGCAAUGAGGUCUCCAUACUUGCAAAUUAUGGUAGAUGCCAUUACUGUUUGUGGUCAAGGGUUCAAAGCCCCUAAUGAUGAGGAGAUAAAAGGCCCUAUUUUGAGUCAAAAGGUGGCUGAUGUUAAAGCCAAAAUUGCCGAGCAACGUGAGAUAUGGAGGAAGGGUUGCACCAUCAUGACUGAUGGUGGGACCGACAGAAGAAAUAUAACACUGCUGAAUUUUCUUGUCUCCUCAUCAGGUAGCACGAUGUUCUUGAAGUCGAUUGAUGCUUCAGACGAUAUAAAAAAUGUUGAGUAUUUCUGUGGGGUGAUGGAGGAAGUGUUGGAGGAUGUGGGUGAGUAGAAUGUGGUGCAAAUAGUGACAGAUAAUGCAGCAAAUUAUGUUGCUGUAGGUAAAAUUCUUAUGGAGAGGCACCCCACCUUGUUUUGGACCCCUUGUGCUUCUCACUGCAUUGACCUAAUAUUGGAGGAUCUUGGCAAAAUUCCAUGGAUUAAAACAUAUGCAGAGACUGGAAGGAAUAUUUGUAAAUACAUAUACAAUCAUACUUGGGUCCUCAACCUUAUGAGAAAUUCUACAAAUAAGGAGGAGUUGGUUCGUCUAGGAAUUACCCGACUUGCAACAAAUUUUAUCACGUUGCAAUCCUUACUUUAGUCCAAGGCCGGAUUGAAACGCAUGUUUGUAAGUGAGGAGUGGACAACAUCAUCAUAUGCAAAGACCACUGCAGGGAUUGAGACGAUUGAUCGGGUUUUUGAUGAGCAUAGCUCUUGGCAAUCGGCCAAGGAGAUUGUGCAGUUCAUAGAGCCUCUUGUUGUUCUCCUACGAGUUGCUGAUGGAGAGAAGCCCGCAAUGGGCUACAUUUAUGAGGGCAUGAACAGGGUGAAGGAGGCCAUUAGAGCCAUUUAUUUAGGCAAUUAGGCUAAAUAUGGUCCCAUAUGGGAGGUCAUUGAUCGACACUGGCACAAUUUGCUUCAUAGGCCUAUACAUGCAACUGCCUACUACCUUAAUCCGACAUUGCAAUUUCGCUCUGAUUUCAAGGCCGAUGAUGAGGUGUUGAGUGGGCUCUACGAAGUUGUAGAGCGAAUGUCACCUAAUUUAUCAGUUGGAGCACACAUAGUCCGUGAGGUAGAGAUGUUUAGGAAUGCACAAGGAGACUUCUUCUCACAAGACAUAUGCAAACAUAACCGGACACAAAUGAUGCUAGAUGCAUGGUGGGAGAUGUUUGGCAAUAAGGUGCUAAAUCUAUAGAAGAUUGCAGUUCAUAUCUUGAGCCAACCAUGUAGUGCUUUAGGAUGUGAGCGCAAUUGGAGCAUGUUUGAGCAUGUUCACUCCAAAAAGCACAAUAGGUUGGCGGUGCAAAGGUUGAAUGAUCUUGUGUUUGUUCAUUACAACCUUCGCCUCCAUCACAGACAGAUCUUGGGCACUCACACAUCUCCUAUCACUUUAGAGGAGGUUGAUCCACAAGCAGAGUGGAACAUUGAGGUUGAUGAUCCUGUCUUCAAUGAUGAAGACUUAGAAUCGGUUGAUUAGGUGGAUCUAGAGGCAGGGGUAGUAGCGAUGGUAGAGGAGGCGGCUAGAGCACGAGGAGACUCAUUGGAGGACCCUGAGAUCGAGGAUGAUGUGGAUGAGGAUGUGGAUGUCAUUGAGGCUGAGCUGAAGCCU